UUGGCAGGCUGAGGGAGGGUCCCGUCUGCUGGUCCUCCCCUCACAGCAGGUUGUGUGGCCCGGUCGGAGUCCGGGGGAACACACGGUCGUUGCCCUCAGUAACUCAGUGUGUGUUUGGCUGGCGAGGGGUCGGGCACGCUUGUCUUCUCUCUGACCUUCUCGUCACUGGUUCGCCCUAAGCACAGUAUAUCUGCCGCCGUGGCCGACGCUAGCGGUCCUCUGCGAUGCACCCGGGACACUGUGGAAUUACGAAAGAGAAAGAUAUGAAGUCGGAAUAAGCGCCGGGAAUAACUGGAUUGAUACUAGAUGGGAAUAGAACGUAAAGUAAAACGUUCAUUGGCCUGUACUACUCAAGUGUGAAAUAAAGUGCUGUGUGCAAAACAGUGGAUAUAGUGAUAACUCUGUGGUGUUUGAUCAUUAAGAUUUUACAUUCGAGAGAACAUUUUUUGCUGAAAGAGGAAGAUGCUGCGAUGUGAGUGAUAUGGUGAUUGAAAAAGCCACGAGUUCAGGUAAGUGAGA